CGUGCGCACCUUUCCCUUCUCUCUCGUCUCGCGUGCGCGGUGGCCCACAGGAGCCCCUCGCAGCUCCCGCCGACGAGCAGCAGCCUCGAUCUCCCUCCGCGCGAGCCGCCACGGCCUACCUCGGCCAUGGAUCGGUGCCUGCCUCGCCGGAGACCGCGCCCCAUGCCUCGACCGUCUCGGCGGCGUCCUCCUCAGCUCCAGAUCGAUGCAGUGCCCGGCUCGCGGAGGGGGCGGGUCGACCUCCUUGUUGGCCACCUCUACUCGAGCCUCGCCGCCAGCCAGCUUCACCGCGCCGCGCCGCUCGCCUCCCUCUGGUUCCUCCCUCGCGCGCCUCCUCCGGUCCCUCCUCCGGCUCCACGACACAGCACCGAGCAGCACUAGUGACUCAUGGUCGAGGAAUCCCCAACGGAUCAGGUUUCUUCCUGGCUGCGUUGAUUGAUUCAUGGAAUCUAGAAUGUUGCAGAGUGGACAGCAGCUCACUGAAUAUAUGGGCUUGUGCUAUGUUCAUGUUGAAUAGAAUAUAGGUCGAUGUGGAUAAAUUUUGCUUUUAUUUUGGGGAGAUGGAGACAAAAUUCUGACGUCACAACUCGAUGUUUUCUUGUACCAAAAUACAAAUUAUAAGCGCUGAUAUAAAAAUAUUCUAA